ensembl:lncRNA
AGCUGCUGAGACCCCCUAGAAGUGGUAAUGAAAAGUGUAACUUUAGCCUCCCAGCUGUACGUCUCAAUCCAUAAUCCUUCCCCAAAAACCUCACCAUAGAGCCGCCUGCCACUCCCAUGGCGUGCCCAGCCUACACCUCACCGGGCCUUCACGAUUUAUGUAGCACUCCGGAUUCAUACUCUCAACCCCGUAAAAAAAAAGGAUUUGCUCUCUCUUAUAUGACCCGGGGUGGUCAGGGGAGCACGGUGGAAACACAAAAAAGCCCAGUGUCGGAGCCUCACUCCCCAGAUAUGAUUUCUCCUUCAACACGGGGCCAUACCUUGGGAUACUUUAGGACACCAGGCCGGCGUCCGAGCGACCGGAGAGGUUGGGUGGUGGCAGAUCAGCGUGUGGAAGCCAUUCAGAGGUCAGAGACCAUACGCCAAACUCCACCAGAGCCACAUGGCCCAGGUUUUGGUAUGCAGAUACGCAGCCCAGGUAAGUCUGACCCGGGUCCCCCCCCCCCCACAGCUUGCCUGACCCUCUUUGCCUCCCCCCCUCAGCUCUGGGGUCAGGCCCAGGGCCCAGCAUGCUUCCAGUGCGGUUCACAGGGGGCCUCGGCAUCCCAAAGAUGAGACUCCAGACUGGCACGUUGCGCAGCGUUUGAUGGUUGUCAAUAGGACCACUGUCCAUCAUCGUCAGUUGACGGACAGACUUGAACCAAAAGACUCAGGAACGGCCCCUUCCCCAUCACCGCUGGCCGUGUCAAGCUUGGAAAUGGAUCCCGGCCGCCUCUGAAGCAUUUAGCACCACAAUUAUCCCCCCAUUCACAGGGCUGCCUGCGCUAAUGUAAACCACACCAGGCACUAGCCGUCAUUCAACCGCAGUAAAAAAAGGCAAUGCAGAAACCCAUCCUCUGUGACAGCAAUUUGACGCAAUUCCGUCCCUGUGUCACCGUUGCUACAAAUAGGGGUCAACUCAUUUAUUAAGCAAUUUCUAGGUCUUGUUGGGGGGG